rfam:Angiostrongylus costaricensis strain Costa Rica genome assembly, scaffold: ACOC_scaffold0002234
GCAGCGAUGUCCGAGUGGUUAAGGAGAUUGACUUGAAACCAAUUGGGCUCUGCCCGCGUAGGUUGGAUAUCCUGCUCGCUGCG